UACGGGGGGGGCAAGCGUUGUUCGGAAUUACUGGGCGUAAAGGGUCUGUAGGUGGCUUGCUAAGUCAGACGUGAAAUCCCUCGGCUUAACCGGGGAACUGCGUCUGAUACUGGCGAGCUUGAGUGCAGGAGAGGAACGCGGAAUUCCAGGUGUAGCGGUGAAAUGCGUAGAUAUCUGGAGGAACACCAGUUGCGAAGGCGGCCGACUGGACACAUAUUGACGCUGAGGCUCGAAAGCUAGGGGAGCGAACAGG
rnacentral:rRNA from 1 species